UAAGCUAAGCCCACUCUCCCCGCAGAGCCAGGUAAGGCACUCCACACUGUUUGUGUGGAGAGCCUCCCAAUGUUCAGUGUACUCCUCCAAAAGGAGUACCUUUUCAAGGAGGAACUUGCUUUUCUGUAAUUCAGCUUAGAAACAAAGCUAAGGUUGCCACUUUUCCGUUGGCCUCCAUAAAUGCUCCUAAGGGGUAUUUAUCUGCAACAAUUAGCAGGUAAUAAUGUUUACCUCUAUGCUGUGAAAAGCCUCACCUGCUGACUUCUGCAGAUCAAGCCAUUGGAAAAGGCAUUGCCAGCUACAAUCUUGGCUACUUUGAAUGGUGCACUCAUCCUUACUUUACCUGAGAAAUCAUAAGUAACUGCAAAAUUUCUUGGGCCUGAUCUGAAGGCAAGUGAUACAUACCUCCUUGCUGAAGCUAAGCAGCUCUAGGUCUGGUCAGUGCCUGACCGAGAGACCACCUGUAACCCUAUGCAUGCCAGUCUGAGUUUCAUGAAAGAAGAAAAGCAGGAUCUAAAUGCAAUAUACACCAGCGUCUCCCAGAAUCUUUCUGGGCAGAGGGGAGCAGGUAAGGGGAUUAGUAUCACAUAUUUAGACAUGGUCUGUACCCUUCCUAGGAUACUUGUCUGCAAUUCUCAUGCCUGAUCCUGGGAGUGUACUAGUAGCCGGUAGGAUCUGCCUGCCAUAGAGCCAGCGUGGUGUAGUGGUUAGAGUGCUGGACUAGGACCGGGGAGACCCAAGUUCAAAUCCCCAUUCAGCCAUGAAACUAGCUGGGUGACUCUGGGCCAGUCACUUCUCUCUCAGCCUAACCUACUUCACAGGGUUGUUGUGAAAGAGAAACUCAAGUGUGUAGUACACUGCUCUGGGCUCCUUGGAGAAAGAGCGGGAUAUAAAUGUAAUAAUAAUAAUAAUAAUAUACCUGUGGUUGUCCCUGUUCAUAGUCAUCAGGCUCAGACAGGGACAUUACAAUCAGGCUGUUGUGCAUUUCUGUAUUUUAGGGUUAGGACUGCAAGACAUUUCAGAUGUUCUAGAAUUCUAAUGCUGACACUGACGCGUAGGGCCUUGGGCAUGUCCCUUAGCACACUGAUCUACACAGAAAAAGAAUUUGGGGGAGACUACAAUUACUUAUCUCAUAAGACUGUUACGGGCAUUAAUUAGCUAGUUUGCAAAGCCCUUUGAACAUGAAAAGGCGAGAUGUUGUGUACAUUCUGUGCAUUAUUACAGUUAAUUAAAACACACCAUAAUUGCUCCUCACUGCUUCCUCUGACUUUGAUGUACUUUGUUUACUGUUGACUAGGGUUCCCUCCUCCCGCCUGGUUUGGUCUCAAAAUCAAAAGCAUUUCAAAUCAGGAAUCCUACUGCCAAGAUUAAUAUUCUCUCCCCCCACCCCCAACUUUGCAUAUUUGCUUCCUGGAGGAAACACAUUCACAGCUAAGUCUAAUGAUUACUGCUAUUGUCUCCUCAUUAGUAAGAAUGCAAAAGCUGAUGCUGUUCCUGAUAGGAAGGAACCGGCGCUUUCAGAAAUUGGCGCUACACCCAACCACCCCAAAGAGCUUCUGGGCUGGAGACUAAUUCUAACCUCCCCAAGAUUAACAUAGCUUCUGGAAUUUGGACAGAAAAAGAACACAUUGGAUCCUAUCCAAAGAGCCUUGAGAGGAAGGGAAAUAGUGAAGAGUGCUGUUUUGCAAAUACUUCCUCAAGGGCUUGCAAAAUGUCCGUGCGAUGCUACCAUGGGAGGUUCCACAGCAGUUCCCGCAUGUAAGAGAUUGCACAAACAGAAGAUCAUUUUUAGAUGUAGCUUCAUGUUUCAUGCCAAACAUUGUAGUGCAAGGUAUAAAACAGCCUUUCCAUGAACAGAAGAUGCCUUCUGCACAUGGAACAGAACUACUCGGCCUAACCUUUUGUCUUUUUCAUUGGGUUUGUUUAAACAUGAGAAUAAAUUGGGCAUAUA